GUCGAGGUAAGCCUCAGAUUAGAAGAGCUACCCUUGCGCAGGGUGGACGAGGGUGCAAGUCCCUCCCCGACA
rnacentral:tRNA from 1 species